rnacentral:rRNA from 1 species
GACGAACGCUGGCGGCGUGCUUAACACAUGCAAGUCGAACGAGUGGCGAACGGGUGAGGAAUACGUGAGUAACCUGCCCUCUUUUUGGGAUAAGCCUUGGAAACGGGGUCUAAUACCGAAUAAAGGGGGAUGGGCUCGCGGCCUAUCGGCUGGUUGGUGGGGUGAUGGCCUACCAAGGCGGUGACGGGUAGCCGGCGUGAGAGGGUGACCGUGGACAUUGGGACCGGGACAGGGCCCAGACGCAUGCGGGAGGGAGCAGUGGGGGAUAUUGCGCAAUGGGCGAAAGCCUGAUGGAGGGACGCCGCGAGGGGGUUUAAGGCUUUCGGGUUGUAUACCGUUUUCGCGAUCGGAAGGGUAGGUGGAGAAGAAGCGCCGGCUAACUACGUGCCAGCAGCCGCGGUAAUUC